ACGAAAGCAAAAUUUGUUUUUCUAUGUCAUUUCUUUGUUUUGUUUUUUAUCCUUUUAAAAAUGUAUUGUCAAACAACAAAACACAAUCAAUGAGAAACAAACUAAUUAUUCUAGCAAUUUGUAUACAUUUUUAACAAAACCUGUGUGCUGGCUAUAUCGAUCAUAUGUAACCGUAUAAUAUUGCGCUGCUUACUUCCCUUGGAUAUAUCAGUGUUUGUUCACCUACGAAUUUUAAAUCGAGGCGUUUGCUGAUAUUGCUAUUUCGGCAUUUUCUUAAGACGUUUAUACCGGUUAAUAGCCCCGCAUGAUCAAUUUACCACAUACAUCGAGUUGAAUCUAAGAACAAAUACUGAAUACCACCACAUACAGUGUUCUUUUACGACACGAUCGGUCCGCUAUCUGUUUCCAGAACAGAAAAGUAAAUUGACCUACACUUUGCUAGUAGCAGAUGGAGAUGACUGGUACUGGACAGCGAACUAAAUCCACGUUCAAAAUUGGUCGCACUAAAGUCUCAUCUGUAUUUCAACCGGCUUAAGAAAGUUUAUUGUAUGUCAACACGGUAUGUACGUCCGUUUUCUGCAAAAGGAAGGGCUCUUUAUGAAGAGAGAAUUGAUGACUUUAGGAAGCGCUGUUCUGCUUCAUGGCGCAAAGUGACUGAAAGUUUGUGCAUAGUAAGUCGUUUAACUUAUGAGAGUAAUGUUGGUGAAAUUAACCUGAUUGAACAGCAAUUACCUAUGAAAGUUACGUAAAAGUUAAAGACAAAAUUUGAUGUGUACUUAAAAAAAUGUGAAAAGUGAAGCAAGUCUUAAAGAAUUAUCGGCUCUCACUACAGACGUGUCGCUACAGGAAAAAGCAAACUUACAUGCGCUGGAAAAGAUUGACCAAAAUAAACAAUCAAUAUUAAAAAAAGUCAUAUCCAGCAUGAAGCCAAACUCUGUCCAUGGUGGUGUGAAGACACACAGUUUGAGAUCCUCUAGCCGUAGGAGUGAACUCAUCGCAUUGAAACAAGCAGAAGCCGAAUCUGCCAAGAUAAAACUGAAAUAUACUCAACAAGAAGCAGCUCUUUUGAAACAAAAGGCAGAAUCAGAAGCGAAUCUUCAAGUU